rnacentral:rRNA from 1 species
GAUGAACGCUGGCGGUAUGCUUUACACAUGCAAGUCAUAGGGAAGUUAGUUUCGGCUAACUUCAGUGGCGGACGGGUGAGUAACACGUGAGAAUCUGCCUUUAGGAGGGGGAUAACAGGGGGAAACACCUGCUAAAACCCCAUAUGCCUUCGGGUCAAAAGAGAAAUCUGCCUAAAGAGAAGCUCGCGGCUGAUUAGCUAGUUGGGGGGGUAAAGGCCUACCAAGGCGACGAUAAGUAGCUGGUCUGAGAGGAUGAUCAGCCACACUGGAACUGAGACACGGUCCAGACUCCUACGGGAGGCAGCAGUGAGGAAUUUUCUGCAAUGGGGGAAAGCCUGACAGAGCAAUACCGCGUGAGGAAAGAAGGCUUACUGAGUUGUAAACCUCUGUUACCUAAGGAGGAAGAUCUGACGUUACUUAGGAGACGAAGCAUCGGCUAACUCCGUGCCAGCAGCCGCGGUAAUAC